GGGAAAAGAUGAUGCGCUCUCAGAUGAAA
rnacentral:piRNA from 1 species